GACGAACGCUGGCGGCGUGCUUAACACAUGCAAGUCGAACGGAAAGGCCCUGCUUUUGUGGGGUGCUCGAGUGGCGAACGGGUGAGUAACACGUGAGUAACCUGCCCUUGACUUUGGGAUAACUUCAGGAAACUGGGGCUAAUACCGGAUAGGAGCUCCUGCUGCAUGGUGGGGGUUGGAAAGUUUCGGCGGUUGGUGAUGGACUCGCGGCUUAUCAGCUUGUUGGUGGGGUAGUGGCUUACCAAGGCUUUGACGGGUAGCCGGCCUGAGAGGGUGACCGGCCACAUUGGGACUGAGAUACGGCCCAGACUCCUACGGGAGGCAGAAGUGGGGAAUAUUGCACAAUGGGCGGAAGCCUGAUGCAGCAACGCCGCGUGCGGGAUGACGGCCUUCGGGUUGUAAACCGCUUUCGCCUGUGACGAAGCGUGAGUGACGGUAAUGGGUAAAGAAGCACCGGCUAACUACGUG
rnacentral:rRNA from 1 species